rnacentral:rRNA from 1 species
UACGGGGGGAGCAAGCGUUGUUCGGAUUUACUGGGCGUAAAGGGCGCGUAGGCGGUCGUGACAAGUCACUUGUGAAAUCUCCGGGCUUAACUCGGAACGGUCAAUCGAUACUGCGGGGCUAGAGUGCAGAAGGGGCAACUGGAAUUCUCGGUGUAGCGGUGAAAUGCGUAGAUAUCAGGAGGAACACCGGUGGCGAAGGCGGGUCUCUGGGCCGAUACUGACGCUGAGGAGCGAAAGCGUGGGGAGCGAACGGG